AACCAGCACCUCAAGUGGUCAGGAUGAUUAUUGGGCCUAAAGCAUCCGUAGCUCGUUUUGUAAGUUUUCGGUUAAAUCCAUACGCUUAACGUAUGGGCUGCCGGGAAUACUACAAGGCUAGGAGGCGGGAGAGGCAAGCGGUACUCAAUGGGUAGGGGUAAAAUCCGCUGAUCCAUUGAAGACCACCAGUGGCGAAGGCGGCUUGCCAGAACGCGCUCGACGGUGAGGGAUGAAAGCUGGGGGAGCAAACCGGAUUAGAUACCCCUGUAGU
rnacentral:rRNA from 1 species